rnacentral:rRNA from 1 species
CGGAGAGGGAGCCUGAGAAACGGCUACCACUUCUAAGGAAGGCAGCAGGCGCGCAAAUUACCCAAUCCUGACUCAGGGAGGUAGUGACAAGAAAUAACAAUAAACCGGCUUAUGCCGGUUUAAUUGGAAUGAGUACAAUUUAAACAUCUUAACGAGGAACAAUUGGAGGGCAAGUCUGGUGCCAGCAGCCGCGGUAAUUCCAGCUCCAAUAGCGUAUACUAAAGUUGUUGCAGUUAAAAAGCUCGUAGUUGGAUUUCUGCGGGGACGGAGCGGCCGGUCGCAACUUGCGACUCGAGCUAGCGCUUUCCCCGCAUCCUGCCGCGAACCGUGCUACCAUUAGUUUGGUGGCGCUGGGGAUCGGCUCGAUUACUUUGAGAAAAAUAGAGUGUUCAAAGCAGGCCACACGCCUUGAAUAAGUUAGCAUGGAAUAAUGACUAAGGACUUUGGUUCUUUUCGUUGGUGUUCGGGACUGAAGUAAUGAUUGAUAGGGACAGUUGGGGCGGUCCGUAUUCCAAAGCGAGAGGUGAAAUUCUUAGACCUUCGGAAGACGAACAGCUGCGAAAGCGUUCCGCAAGGAUGUUCCCUUUGAUCAAGAACGAAAGUUGGGGGAUCGAAGACGAUCAGAUACCGUCGUAGUCUCAACUAUAAACUAUACCAGCUAGGGAUUGGCCAACGUUUAAUUAUUCGACUUGGUCGGCACCUUAUGAGAAAUCAAAGCAUCUGGGUUCCGGGGGGAGUAUGGUCGCAAGGCUGAAACUUAAAGGAAUUGACGGAAGGGCACCACCAGGCGUGGAGCCUGUGGCUUAAUUUGACUCAACACGGGAAAACUUACCAGGUCCAGACAUAGGAAGGAUUGACAGAUUGAUAGCUCUUUCUUGAUUCUGUGGGUGGUGGUGCAUGGCCGUUUUUAGUCGGUGAAGUGAUUUGUCUGCUUAAUUGCGUUAACGGACGAGACCCCAGCCUGCUAAAUAGCGCGGCCGAGCUUUGCUCGGUACGAGCUUCUUAGAGGGACCAUGAUGCGCGAUAGCACAAGGAAGUUUGGGGCAACAACAGGUCUGUGAUGCCCUUAGAUGUUCUGGGCCGCACACGGGCUACACUGGCGCCUGCAACGAGCAUAUCAGCUGGCCCGAGAGGGUCUUGGCUAAUCUUUGGAACCGGCGCCGUGCUUGGGAUUGACCAUUGCAAUUGUUGGUCAUGCAACGAGGAAUGCCUUGUAAACGCGAGUCAUCAGCUCGCAUUGAAUACGUCCCCGCCCUUUGUACACACCGCCCGUCGCUCCUACCGAUGAAUGUUCCGAUGAAAUUUUCGGAGAGCGCCGGAGAACGGGGCUCUGCCCUGCAGAACUGGAGGCUCAAAGUCACUUAAAUCUGAACAUUUCGAGGAAGGAGAAGUCGUAACAAGGUAACC